rnacentral:lncRNA from 1 species
UGCUGUGUUGACAUUGUUACAUCAAGCUGGGUUGUGCCUGAAGAAGCUUAUGAUCCAAGAUUUCUGGAAAGUUCUGAUUUUGCAGCCAGGCUGUGCACUGAGCACUUCACACAUUUCCCCCUAUUGUCUCAUUGGUCAAAUCUAUCAGAAUAAAAACUACCAGACUUCAAACUUGACUUGGUCAUCUGAAUAUUGAAAAGAACAGAAGCAAAAAACCAUACCCCUUUUCCACAAGUUCUUUUCCAACAUGACCUACCCUAAUAUUUCCUGUCUACUUUACUCUGCCAUGAUACAGGCUCAUGUCCUCCUAACCUGCGGUUUCCUUCCUCUAUCCCAGGGGGACAAUACAUUCUUGCGAUAUCUCCUGAGUGUCACCUACUGAGUCAGCCUGGGAAGUGGAAGGUGGGCAAGGUUUUUGAGACCAGAGAGGGGAGAACAUCCAAGAAUAAUAAAUCAGCAGUGUCCCUACCAAGUCAAAGUGCUAUUUGCAUCUGUUAUCACUACUUGGUGCAGGAUGGCUUAGACUGCAUUACCAAGAAUGUAGGGGGAGAAGCUGGGCAUGGUGCCACAUGCCUGUAAUUCCAUCUACUCACGAGGCUGAGGCAGGAGGAUUGCAAAUUUGAGGUCAGCCCUGGGCACCUUAGUGAGACCCUGUCUCAAAAUACAAAAUAAAUAAAUAAAAGGACUGGGGUUAUUGCUUGUCAGUAAAGCACCCCUGGAUUCAAUUCCCAGUACAGAAAAAAAAAAUGUAGUAA